UCCUUUCCACGGGGAAACACGCCCCACCUCGACAGGUCGGGGAGCAAUCCCCCGUCUUCUCCCGAGUCUCGAGCUCUCCGUGUUGCUCGCGAGAUGCGACGAACGGCUGCCGCCGCGAACGGCCGACCUUCUUCCCCACCUCCAUCGUCCCCUCCUCCACAGCUGUUGCUUCCACAUCUCCACACCUUUGCCUUCAUGGCCGCCACUACUUCCACGCCGUCGGCGUCUCCGUCUCCGUCUUCGUGGCCACCGGCACCUCACCUCCAAACUGUGGCUCAGCAUCUAUCUAGUCCUCCGACACCAUCUUUCGAUUGCUGAAGGCAUCUCCUCCCUUCCACAGACACUGGAGGUUUGUUCACACGGCUGAAACCUGUAGCGUCUGUUUUAUAUGCUAAUUCCGAUGACCAGGUAUAGAUUUUUAGAGCUUUUGCUUGCUGAAACAGUUAGCUGUAGCGCCUGUUCUAUAUGCUAAUUCUCGUGACCAGGUACAAAUUUUUAGAGUUUUUGGUACAAAUUUUUAGAGUUUUUGAUUGGGAGUCCUAGAAAUCAGUCUCUCUCUUGUCUUCCACUGGUAAAAAGCUAUGCAGUUCAGAAAUUCAGAUACAGCAUAGCACUGGACUGAAUUUCAUAGUCAAGUAGUAUUGGACCUAAUCUAAGUUCCAUUGUUGGAAUCCAAUCUGUGAAUUGCUCUAUACCUGCAAUGUCAUAGUGUAUUUAAAUAAGAAAUGUUUCAUUCUUUAUGUAGGCAGAUGCAAUGGUCCGACAAAACCACAUUAGCCGAUAGUAGUGACCAAUAAGGAAAUAACAGUCACCUUUUCAAUGCAAUUCAAUCUUUUUGGAACAGGUUUUCUGCCACCAAGCUGAACAAAGCAAGGAUAGGGUUACCAAUAAAGAUCCUAUUCUUUCUGAUUGGAUUUUAUUCACUACACAGCUACUACAUGAUCACUACCUUGAUCUUUUAAUAUGAUUAAUUACUUAGCCCUUGCUCUAUUUGAUUUAGUCUCUCCCUCUGGCUUAGAGUUCUACAUGUAAACCAAACCGAGGUAGUUGAUGAAUUCUAUUAUGUUAGAGUAGUUUAGUUGAUGAAACAGUUAUGCAGAAAAUGGAACCUGUAAGAAUCUUUACCUUUUAAUGGAGUCUGAGUUUUCAGUUUGAUUUCA